rnacentral:rRNA from 1 species
CAAAGGAAUUGACGGGGCCGCACAAGCGGUGGAGCAUGUGGUUUAAUUCGAAGCAACGCGAAGAACCUUACCAGGUCUUGACAUCCCCUGACAACCCGAGAGAUCCGGGCGUUCCCCCUUCGGGGGGACAGGGUGACAGGUGGUGCAUGGUUGUCGUCAGCUCGUGUCGUGAGAUGUUGGGUUAAGUCCCGCAACGAGCGCAACCCUCGACCUUAGUUGCCAGCAUUCAGUUGGGCACUCUAAGGUGACUGCCGGUCUUAAGCCGGAGGAAGGUGGGGAUGAUGUCAAGUCAGCAUGGCCUUUAUAUCCUGGGCUACACACACGCUACAAUGGCCAACACAAUAGGUUGCUAAGCCGCGAGGUGGCGCCAAUCCAUAAAGUUGGUCUCAGUUCAGAUUGUAGGCUGCAACCCGCCUGCAUGAAGAUGGAGUUGCUAGUAACCGCAGGUCAGCUAUACUGCGGUGAAUACGUUCCCGGGGCUU